AGAGUUUGAUCCUGGCUCAGGACGAACGCUAGCGGCGUGCCUAAGGUAUGCAAGUCGAACGGGAGCUUCGGCUCUAGUGGCGAACGGUCGAGUAACACGUAGACAACCUGCCCUUCAGUGGGGGAUAACAGCGGGAAACUGCUGCUAAUACCGCAUGCGGCCCGGUCAAGCAUUUGACUGGCGCUAAAGGAUUUAUUCGC
rnacentral:rRNA from 1 species